GUUAUGGACCACAAUUGAGGGGGAAGAAACUUGCUGACCAUGAGGUUCAUAAGUUGCUUACCCUUGCCGAUCUUGAUUACUCGUUUCUCAAAAAGAAUGGCAGUGAAUUAUCUGUAGGUCAAGCUCAAAGGGUUGCACUUGCUAGGACCCUAGCUAAUGAACCAGAGGUUUUGCUACUAGAUGAGCCAACUAGUGCCUUGGAUCCAAUAUCAACCCAAAACAUAGAGGAUGCUAUUGUAAAACUGAAGAAGAGCCAGGGAAUGACAAUUGUGAUAGUCUCUCACAGCAUCAAACAGAUCCAGAG
rnacentral:misc_RNA from 1 species